AUUGAACGCUGGCGGCAGGCCUAACACAUGCAAGUCGAGCGGGGUUUUCGGACCUAGCGGCGGACGGGUGAGUAAUGCGUAGGAAGCUGCCCGAUAGAGGGGGAUACCAGUUGGAAACGACUGUUAAUACCGCAUAAUGUCUACGGACCAAAGUGUGGGACCUUCGGGCCACAUGCUAUCGGAUGCGCCUAAGUGGGAUUAGCUCGUUGGUGAGGUAAUGGCUCACCAAGGCGACGAUCUCUAGCUGGUUUGAGAGGAUGAUCAGCCACACUGGAUAUGAGACACGGUCCAGACUCCUACGGGAGGCAGCAGUGGGGAAUAUUGGACAAUGGGCGCAAGCCUGAUCCAGCCAGGCCGCGUGUGUGAAGAAGGCCUUCGGGUUGUAAAGCACUUUCAGCGAGGAGGAAGGGAUGUAUGUUAAUAGCAUGCAUUUUUGACGUUACUCGCAGAAGAAGCACCGGCUAACUCUGUGCCAGCAGCCGCAGUAAAAC
rnacentral:rRNA from 1 species